rnacentral:rRNA from 1 species
ACGCUCGACACCUACGGGAGACAGCAGUGGGGAAUAUUGCACAAUGGGGGAAACCCUGAUGCAGCGACGCCGCGUGGAGGAAGAAGGUCUUCGGAUUGUAAACUCCUGUUGUUGGGGAAAAAGAGGAUGGUACCCAACAAGGAAGUGACGGCUAACUGCGUGCCAGUACGCCGACGGUAAUCUGAGGCGGGCUGGACAAGGC